rnacentral:rRNA from 1 species
AUUGAACGCUGGCGGCAGGCCUAACACAUGCAAGUCGAACGAGUGGCGGACGGGUGAGUAAUGUCUGGGAAACUGCCCGAUGGAGGGGGAUAACUACUGGAAACGGUAGCUAAUACCGCAUACCAUCGGAUUGGCCCAUAUGGGAUUCGCUAGUAGGUGGGGUAACGGCUCACCUAGGCGACGAUCCCUAGCUGGUCUGAGGGGAUGACCGGCCACACUGGAUCUGAGACACGGUCCAGACUCCUACGGGAGGAAGCAGUGGGGAAUAUUGCACAAUGGGCGCAAGCCUGAUGCAGCCAUGCCGCGUGUAUGAAGAAGGCCUUCGGGUUGUAAAGUACUUUCAGCGAGGAGGCGUUACUCGCAGAAGAAGCACCGGCUAACUCCGUGCCAGCAGCCGCGGUAAUAG